rnacentral:lncRNA from 1 species
UAUUGUGGGCAUCUUUCCUAGAAAUGAAUAAUUUACCAAAGUCAUUACCAACGCUUCUAUGGGAAACAGCGUGAAUUGGACCUUGAGACGAGGCAGAUUUUUUCAAGCGUCUUCAAGUGUCUGCAGUCCACUCAUCAGUGCGGUAUAUGUCUUAAAGCUAUGCAACUGCGUGGGAGGGCUGCAGUAGCACCUACUAUCAGUACUACCGGUUCAACCAGUAUACAGUAUAUAGGGUUUUUUGUAUUCCUUUUAUUUUACUGAGGUAUUUAUGUGCAGUAUGUACCUCUCAGGAACAGAAGGACUACAUGUGACUGUUCCCGAUGUACUCGAUGCACUCGCAAAAGGUCAAAAGCUUCCUCCUGUGCACAAAAUAGAUCUAUUUCAGGAUAGUUUUCGAGUGAGAAAUAACAAAAGAGGACAUGGGUUGGUUUUCACUAGUUUAUGUUACAUCUCUGGUUAUAGAGAGGAGAGUGGAGUUACGGUCAGCCAGAUGCAGCAGCCAAUUAGCAAGCCUGGAAGUCUACAGUCCACAUGAGGGUACACUUUGCUCUAUUUCUCUCUCUGGAUAUCAAGAAAGCCUGCUGCUUAGAUCUUACUGCAGGAAGGAGGAACAUAAGGAGUUAUAAGAUGCCGCAGGAUGCCUUCCAUGGAGUCCGCUAUGUUUCUACAGUAGCCCAAAAAGGAAAAAAACAAACACUGGCUCUAGAUAGGGGGCGUUUCUUGCGCGAUCCUCUUUUGCGCUUGGAAGGGGAAGGUAAAACGAGGGACUUGCAAUCUAGAACCACACCACUAGAUGCUACUAAAUCCUACACAUGUCCCACUCUCUCUCUUUGUUUCUCUGCAGAGCAUGUGCAAUAG